rnacentral:pre_miRNA from 1 species
UGCUCUAUACUCUUCUCUCUAAUCUUAGUACCCAAAUGUACGUGCUUUUCCAAGUGCAAUGCACCUGGGCAAGGAUUCACAGAGGGUGA